ensembl:snRNA U1 U1 spliceosomal RNA
AUACUUACCUGGCAGGGGAGAUACCAUGAUCACGAAGGUGGUUUUCCCAGGGCAAGGCUUAUUCAUUGGACUCCGGAUGUGCAGACCCCUGCAAUUUCCCCAAAUGUGGGAAACUCAACUGCAUAAUUUGUGGUAGUGGGGGACUGCAUUCACCCUUUUCCCUG